GCCCUUCAGAGGGGGACAACAGUUGGAAACGACUGCUAAUACCGCAUACGAUCUAAUCUCGGCAUCGAGGAUAGAUGAAAGGUGGCCUCUACAUGUAAGCUAUCACUGAAGGAGGGGAUUGCGUCUGAUUAGCUAGUUGGAGGGGUAACGGCCCACCUAGGCGACGAUCAGUAGCCGGACUGAGAGGUUGACCGGCCACAUUGGGACUGAGACACGGCCCAG
rnacentral:rRNA from 1 species